GGUCCUGACGCUCCAGCUAGCUCCACGAGCUCGCCCCUCGCUCUGUUGCCGUGGUUGCAGGCCCGGCCCGCCCGCUUGCUCGUUGACUGCUUGACUUAGAGCGAAGGAAAGUGGAUCCGUUGGUCUGUCGGGAACGAGGCUCCGGCGGCCUGGCCCACGCGGAGACGUUGCCAUGGCAGCCGCCGCCGGGGGCGCGGACGAGGAGCCGCGUUCCGGCCGCUCGAGCUCGGACGGCGAGUGCGCAGUGGCGCCCGAGCGGCUGACGGAAGCCGAGGGCCUCUUCUCCUUCGCCGACUUCGGGUCCGCGUUGAGUGGCGCCGCUGGCCUCUCGGGCCGGGCGUCCGGAGGGGCCCAGUCGCCGCUGCGCUACCUGCACGUCCUGUGGCAGCAGGACGCCGAGCCGCGCGACGAGCUGCGCUGCAAGAUCCCCGCCGGGCGACUGAGACGAGCGGCCAGGCCCCACCGCCGGCUCGGGCCCACGGGCAAGGAUGUGCACGCUCUGAAGAGGCUGAGGGACUCGGCUAAUGCCAACGACGUAGAAACAGUGCAGCAGCUGCUGGACGAUGGCGUGGACCCCUGCGCAGCGGAUGACAAGGGCCGCACCGCCCUCCACUUCGCCUCCUGCAAUGGCAACGACCAGAUUGACAGUGAGCCAUGUGUGUCUGCAUGCCUGAGCCACCCGGGUCAACAUGGACGCUUUCCCGAUGCCCUCGCCGCUGUCUCUCUGUGGAGCUUGUUCCCCGUGGACCAGGAUGCUUGCUUUGCAGUUGCUCCUGGACCACGGCGCCGACCCCAACCAGCGCGACGGGCUGGGGAACACACCGCUGCACCUGGCGGCCUGCACCAACCACGUCCCUGUCAUCACCACGCUGCUUCGAGGAGGAGCCCGUGUGGAUGCCCUGGAUCGAGCAGGCCGCACGCCCCUACACCUGGCCAAGUCCAAGCUGAACAUCCUGCAGGAGGGCCACUCCCAGUGCCUGGAGGCCGUGCGGCUAGAGGUGAAGCAGAUCAUCCACAUGCUGCGGGAGUACCUGGAGCGCCUGGGGCGGCACGAGCAGCGUGAGCGGCUGGACGACCUCUGCAGCCGCCUCCAGAUGACCAGCACCAAGGAGCAGGUAGAUGAAGUGACCGACCUGCUGGCCAGUUUCACCUCCCUCAGUCUGCAGAUGCAGAGCAUGGAGAAGAGGUAGCGGGCAGCUGUCCCUGCCCUGCUGGUCAGCACUGCCCUGCCCUCUGCGCCUCAGCCCGAAGGAAAAGCCCGGCAUCAGAGACUGUGGGGAACACUUAGCUCGGAUGCCGGGGAGCAGAAAUGUACUCUCCAUGACUGCAGAGUCACUCCCACCACUGUCUCUGUCCUCUCUGUGGGCCUGGAGGGACCAGGCGAGCCUCUGCAGCUGCUCCUCAGCUGUGACCCACACGCUGGCUCAGCGGCCUCAUGGUCACAGGCCUUCUCUGUGUUCCUCCUGGCCAUGAGCUGGCUGCCCGGAGCUGGCUUAGGGAGGGCGCCCCCGGUCCAGGGGCAGCCCUGGCUCUGUCACCCAGCUAAAGGUGACACUUCACUGAGUUUCUGUGGUUACAAGAGGCUUGGGGACACUCAGAACUUAUCAGGGUUAGGAAUGACCCUGCUAAGGCGGAAGCAGGAAGUCACCAGCCCUUUCCUCCCAGCUGCAGGAGCGCCAGGAGGGUGGCGCCAUCUUGCGGCUCUCACUGUCUUAGGCUGGGCCGGCAUGAGCCCUGGUCCUCCUCCCAGGAACCUGUGACCCUUACUGUGUGACAGAGAGGCUCACGGAUAUGACAGGAUCCUGUGGCAGAUGUCCCUGAAUUACGUAGAUGGGCUGGAUCCGAGCACAGGGAGCUUUGUAAGAGGAAAGCCGGGGCUGAGGGAGGAGGGAGGAGGUGCGCAGGUGGAAGCAGGAAGCUGCGGGAGGAACAGGAAGCCGAGGAAGAGGCCUAGAGCCGAGGAGUGCAGGCUGCCCACCUCCGGGAGCCAGAACCACGGAAGGGCUGCUCUGGGAACUUCAGGAAGCACUGACGCUGUCGCCUGCCCGGACUUGAGCUUGGUGAGACCCAUUUCCACUGCAAGUCCACGGAGCUGUCAGAAUAAAUCUGCAGAAUGACCGCCA